rnacentral:lncRNA from 1 species
AAGUAAGACUUUAUCACCAACCUGAAAGUGUUUUCUGGAGAUAUUUUUGUCAUGGAAGGCUUUGGUCUUUGAUUUGUAAUCCCAUGAAGCUUCAUAUGCAUCACGCCGAAUUUCUUCAAGCUCUUGAAGUUGCAAUUUUCUGUUGGCCCCAGCUUCUUUUUCAUCAAGAUUGCAGCUCUUCACAACCCAAUAGGCUUUAUGUUCAAGUUCCACAGGUAGAUGGCAAGCUUUCCCAUAAAUCAGCCUAUAUGGAGACAUC